rnacentral:rRNA from 1 species
GUGAGUAAUACUUAGGAAUCUGCCUAUUAAUGGGGGACAACAUCUCGAAAGGGAUGCUAAUACCGCAUACGCCCUACGGGGGAAAGCAGGGGAUCACUUGUGACCUCGCGUUAAUAGAUGAGCCUAAGUCGGAUUAGCUAGUUGGUGGGGUAAAGGCCUACCAAGGCGACGAUCUGUAGCGGGUCUGAGAGGAUGAUCCGCCACACUGGGACUGAGACACGGCCCAGACUCCUACGGGAGGCAGCAGUGGGGAAUAUUGGACAAUGGGGGGAACCCUGAUCCAGCCAUGCCGCGUGUGUGAAGAAGGCCUUAUGGUUGUAAAGCACUUUAAGCGAGGAGGAGGCUCUCUUGGUUAAUACCCAAGAAGAGUGGACGUUACUCGCAGAAUAAGCACCGGCUAACUCUGUGCCAGCAGCCGCGGUAAUACAGAGGGUGCGAGCGUUAAUCGGAUUUACUGGGCGUAAAGCGUGCGUAGGCGGCUUUUUAAGUCGGAUGUGAAAUCCCCGAGCUUAACUUGGGAAUUGCAUUCGAUACUGGGAAGCUAGAGUAUGGGAGAGGAUGGUAGAAUUCCAGGUGUAGCGGUGAAAUGCGUAGAGAUCCGGAGGAAUACCGAUGGCGAAGGCAGCCAUCUGGCCUAAUACUGACGCUGAGGUACGAAAGCAUGGGGAGCAAACAGGAUUAGAUACCCUGGUAGUCCAUGCCGUAAACGAUGUCUACUAGCCGUUGGGGCCUUUGAGGCUUUAGUGGCGCAGCUAACGCGAUAAGUAGACCGCCUGGGGAGUACGGUCGCAAGACUAAAACUCAAAUGAAUUGACGGGGGCCCGCACAAGCGGUGGAGCAUGUGGUUUAAUUCGAUGCAACGCGAAGAACCUUACCUGGUCUUGACAUAGUAAGACUUUC